rnacentral:miRNA from 1 species
ACUGCAGGACCGCUCAGGUGAAG